rnacentral:rRNA from 1 species
GGUAGGAUUAUCCGCUGAACUUAAGCAUAUCAAUAAGCGGAGGA